UUGCAGUUGUUUGCAUAGUUACUGAUCUGUGUCUGGUGGUAUGGUCCAUUUGCAUUCUACAUUUAGAUAGUGAUGCACACGUACAACCUGUGGUCAAAGAGCAACUUGAGAUCAUAAUCCUUAGGUAGUGGAGUCCCAAGGUAAGCUUUUAUUACUCACCAGAUUCUCAAACACUU